AACGAACGCUGGCGGCGUGCCUAACACAUGCAAGUCGAACGAGAAAGGGGCUUUGGCUCCGAGUAUCGUGGCCCACGGGGGAGUAACACGCGGGUAACCUGCCUCUAAGAUUGGGAUAACGCCCCGAAAGAGGCGCUAAUACCGAAUAAGACCAGAGUUCCCGCGGGAACAGGGGUCAAAGGUAGCCUUUGCUUGUAAGCUAUCACUGAGUGAUGGGCCUGCGGACCAUUAGCUAUGUGGUAGGGAAACGGCCUACCAAGGCCAAGAGGGUUAGCUGGUCUGGGAGGAUGGUCAGCCAAACUGGGAAUGGGACACGGUCCAGACUCCUACGGGGAGCAGCAGUGGGGAAUAUUGCGCAAUGGGCGGAAGCUUGGCGCAACAACGCCGCGGUGGUGGUGGAGGCCUUCGGGUCGUAAAGCUCUGUCGGGAGGAGCGAAUGCUCCUGAGGUUAACAGCCUCCGGAGGUGACGGUACCUACAAAGGAAGCACCGGCUAACUCUGUG
rnacentral:rRNA from 1 species